AAAAUUAACAAUCACUGAAUGAAAUAUAAAUCAUAAAAUAUGAUAAUUUAUGUAAUGAUCAAGAAAAAAAAUUGUUUUUUUUUAAAAUCUACAAUAAAAAAUCACACGAGUCUAAUUAAAAAUAUAAAUAAGCGAUUAAAUAUAAAGAAAGAAUUAUAUAUAAGAUUGAAUGAUAAAUAAGAAGAAGGAGAAUAAUAAGAAUAAGGUGAUAAGGAAGAAAUAAAAAAAUAAAGGAAGAAAUAAAAUCUUAUCAUAUACUUUCUAAAACACAAAGACAAAUUCUAACAAUUUUAUGAAUCCACAAAACUUUUGCAUUUAUAUUAAAUAAUAAAUAUAAAUAAUAAUGAAAAAUAUAAAUAGAUCUUAGAGUUUUAAAUAAUAAAUAGAAAGUAAAAUAAUGCGUAAUGAUGAUAAUGAUUUAAAAUGAUGGCGAGUAUUAAUAAGAAGUAAAAGAUUCAAAUAAAAAUAAAGAUGAAGAUGAAAAAGAAAAAUGUUUUUUUAAAAUAAAAAAAAAAAAAUAAUAAAAAACAUUUUUUUUAUUGUAAAAAUUUUUCAUUGUAAAGUUUUUCAUGAAAGUAAAAUGAGAAAAAUUUAUAAAGAAGAUAAUAGAAGAAAAGAAAAAUGUUUUUUUUUUUUUUUAAUAAAAAAAAAAAACGACAUUUUUUAAGAUUCAAAUUUUCGGCAAUUUAAAUUUAAAAUGAAGAAAAAAAAAGAAGGAGAAAAUAAGGAGAAUAAAAAGGGAGGGAGUAUGAAGUGAAGAAAUGAAAGGAAGAGAAGGGGAAGAAAGAAGAAAUGAUUUUUUAAAAAAGAACAAAUAAUAGUGAUGAAAAAAAAAUAAUGAACUAUAACAUAUAUAUUUAAUGAAGAUAAAUAUAAAACCGUCCUUAUCCUCUCACAGCCAUCGAACAAGUUUAAUUUAAUAUAUGUUUAAUUAAUAUAUAUUAAUUGAUUAAUUAUAUAUGUAUAUAUAUUUAAAUAUAAAUAUAUGUGUAUGUAAUUAAUUGAUUAAUGAAUCACAUGAGCCAGUACACUGAUAAAUUUAAAUAUUUGGAAUUCAAUAAUAAACAAUUGAUACGUUCAUUAAUAAUCGAUAAUUGUAAGCGGGAAAAUUUAAAAUUGUAAUUAAUUAAAUUUUGUUUAUUGAAAAGGGCUCAAUUUUUGGAAUAUUUUGAAAUGAUGGAAAUUUUUAAUGUUUUGUUUUUUGGUUCAUUUUUCUCUGAUUGUGUAAUAUUAUGAUAGUUGCCCGUUUAUAUAGAUUAUAUAUAUUUGAUUGAUUGAUUGGAAUUUAUGUUUAACUUAAAAUUGUAAAUUUUUUUUUUAGGGCCCUUUUCAGGGCCCGCAAAUUUUUCACCACGUAAGACAACUUGAGUUUUAUUUACUCAACAAAAUGUCCUUUUCAGGACAACAAAAUGUUUUUUUAAGAACAGAAAAAAAAAAAAAAAAAGAAAACAAAAUUCUUUUUAAAGACAAAUUAAAUAAUUUUAUUUUUCAGGACACGGAAGUUUUUUUUUCACAACAUGACAACAGAAAAUAUCAUCGAGUAAUAAAAAUAAAUUAUUCAAGAAAAUGUAAUAAGACCAACCACGGGCCAGUGAAAAAAUUUUUAAAACUUUUGUAUAUAAAUUUAAAAAAUUUUAAUGCCCAUAAAAUAUAUGAAGAACUAGGAAAAAAAAAAUUAUACUUGUAAAUAUUUUUCUAAGUUAAGCAAAAUAAUUAUUGAUCGCCCGGGUACUGGUCUCGUUAUUUUGUUAGAAAAAUUUAAUGAUGUGAGAUUAUGAUAAAAAAAAAAAUUUUUGUAUCCAUUAAAUGAUGGCAGAUUUAGUGACUCUAGUUUCAAAACAUGAAACAAAUUCCAAGGACAUAUUUUGAGAAUACUUAAAUUCCCAAGGUCGAUGAUCUACAGAUAGUUUACAAGAUUUUAACCAGGAGUCAAUUUGGGAACCAAAGAAAACGUCAAAGAAUAAAAUAUAAAUUAAAGAUUUAUUUUUAUAAAAU